AACGAACGCUGGCGGCAGGCUUAACACAUGCAAGUCGAACGCUCCGCAAGGAGAGUGGCAGACGGGUGAGUAACGCGUGGGAAUCUACCUAGUUCUACGGAACAACAGAGGGAAACUUCUGCUAAUACCGUAUACGCCCUAAGGGAGAAAGAUUUAUCGGAAUUAGAUGAGCCCGCGUAAGAUUAGCUAGUUGGUGGGGU
rnacentral:rRNA from 1 species